UAGCUUAAUGGUAAAGCACCCAACCGGCAAUUGGGGGAUCUGGGUUCAAGUCCAG
rnacentral:tRNA from 1 species